rnacentral:rRNA from 1 species
ACGAACGCGUAGCGGCGUGCUUAACACAUGCAAGUCGAACGGAAAGGCCCUUCGGGGGUGCUCGAGUGGCGAACGGGUGAGUAACACGUGGGUGAUCUGCCCUGCACUUUGGGAUAAGCCUGGGAAACUGGGUCUAAUACCGAAUACACCCUGCUGGUCGCAUGGCCUGGUGGGGGAAAGCUUUUGCGGUGUGGGAUGGGCCCGCGGCCUAUCAGCUUGUUGGUGGGGUGAUGGCCUACCAAGGCGACGACGGGUAGCCGGCCUGAGAGGGUGUCCGGCCACACUGGGACUGAGAUACGGCCCAGACUCCUACGGGAGGCAGCAGUGGGGAAUAUUGCACAAUGGGCGCAAGCCUGAUGCAGCGACGCCGCGUGAGGGAUGACGGCCUUCGGGUUGUAAACCUCUUUCAGUACCGACGAAGCGCAAGUGACGGUAGGUACAGAAGAAGCACCGGCCAACUACGUGCCAGCAGCCGCGGUAAUACGUAGGGGGCUAGCGUUGUCCGGAUUUAUUGGGCGUAAAGCGCGUGUAGGCGGCCAGGUAGGUCCGCUGUGAAAACUCGAGGCUCAACCUCGAGACGUCGGCGGAAACCAUCUGGCUAGAGUCCGGAAGAGGAGAGUGGAAUUCCUGGUGUAGCGGUGAAAUGCGCAGAUAUCAGGAAGAACACCCGUGGCGAAGGCGGCUCUCUGGGACGGUACUGACGCUGAGACGCGAAAGCGUGGGGAGCGAACAGGAUUAGAUACCCUGGUAGUCCACGCCGUAAACGAUGGGUGCUAGGUGUGGGCGGUGUCGACUCCGUCCGUGCCGAAGCUAACGCAUUAAGCACCCCGCCUGGGGAGUACGGCCGCAAGGCUAAAACUCAAAGGAAUUGACGGGGGCCCGCACAAGCAGCGGAGCAUGUGGUUUAAUUCGACGCGACGCGAAGAACCUUACCAGGGCUUGACAUGCACUGGAAUGUCGUAGAAAUACGCCAGCCCUUCGGGGCCAGUGCACAGGUGGUGCAUGGCUGUCGUCAGCUCGUGUCGUGAGAUGUUGGGUUAAGUCCCGCAACGAGCGCAACCCCUGUCCUAUGUUGCCAGCGUGAAAGACGGGGACUCAUAGGAGACUGCCGGUGACAAAUCGGAGGAAGGUGGGGAUGAUGUCAAGUCAUCAUGCCCCUUAUGCCCUGGGCUACACACGUGCUACAUUGGCCGGUACAGAGGGCUGCAAACCCGUGAGGGGGAGCGAAUCCCAAAAAGCCGGUCCCGGUUCGGAUUGGAGGCUGAAACUCGCCUCCAUGAAGGCGGAGUUGCUAGUAAUCGCGGAUCAGCAACGCCGCGGUGAUACGUUCCCGGGCAUUGUACACACCGC